rnacentral:sRNA from 12 species
CUUGUGCAACAUAGGCGGCGGUUGUGCCGCGGGAUUACCCCGCGGGUUCGGCUAGUGAAUACCACGACAG